GGGUUGUGAGGUUAAGCGACUAAGCGUACACGGUGGAUGCCCUGGCAGUCAGAGGCGAUGAAGGGCGUGCUAAUCUGCGAUAAGCGCCGGUAAGGUGAUAUGAACCGUUAUAACCGGCGAUACCCGAAUGGGGAAACCCAGUGUGAUUCGUCACACUAUCAUUAACUGAAUCCAUAGGUUAAUGAGGCGAACCGGGGGAACUGAAACAUCUAAGUACCCCGAGGAAAAGAAAUCAACCGAGAUUCCCCCAGUAGCGGCGAGCGAACGGGGAGGAGCCCAGAGCCUGAAUCAGCAUGUGUGUUAGUGGAAGCGUCUGGAAAGGCGCGCGAUACAGGGUGACAGCCCCGUACACAAAAGCGCAUGUGCUGUGAGCUCGAUGAGUAGGGCGGGACACGUGGUAUCCUGUCUGAAUAUGGGGGGACCAUCCUCCAAGGCUAAAUACUCCUGACUGACCGAUAGUGAACCAGUACCGUGAGGGAAAGGCGAAAAGAACCCCGGCGAGGGGAGUGAAAAAGAACCUGAAACCGUGUACGUACAAGCAGUGGGAGCACAGGUUUACCUGUGUGACUGCGUACCUUUUGUAUAAUGGGUCAGCGACUUAUAUUCUGUAGCAAGGUUAACCGUAUAGGGGAGCCGGAGGGAAACCGAGUCUUAACCGGGCGUUAAGUUGCAGGGUAUAGACCCGAAACCCGGUGAUCUAGCCAUGGGCAGGUUGAAGGUUGGGUAACACUAACUGGAGGACCGAACCGACUAAUGUUGAAAAAUUAGCGGAUGACCUGUGGCUGGGGGUGAAAGGCCAAUCAAACCGGGAGAUAGCUGGUUCUCCCCGAAAGCUAUUUAGGUAGCGCCUCGUGAAUUCAUCUCCGGGGGUAGAGCACUGUUUCGGCUAGGGGGCCAUCCCGGCUUACCAACCCGAUGCAAACUGCGAAUACCGGAGAAUGUUAUCACGGGAGACACACGGCGGGUGCUAACGUCCGUCGUGAAGAGGGAAACAACCCAGACCGCCAGCUAAGGUCCCAAAGUCAUGGUUAAGUGGGAAACGAUGUGGGAAGGCCCAGACAGCCAGGAUGUUGGCUUAGAAGCAGCCAUCAUUUAAAGAAAGCGUAAUAGCUCACUGGUCGAGUCGGCCUGCGCGGAAGAUGUAACGGGGCUAAACCAUGCACCGAAGCUGCGGCAGCGAACGUAUCACUUAAAGCGAUUCAGCGGGUUACGAUUGACGGAGCGAAGCGACGUCAAAGCGUAUACAAAGUCGAGUCGGUUUAAGGAUACGUUCGUUGGGUAGGGGAGCGUUCUGUAAGCCUGUGAAGGUGGCCUGUGAGGGUUGCUGGAGGUAUCAGAAGUGCGAAUGCUGACAUAAGUAACGAUAAAGCGGGUGAAAAGCCCGCUCGCCGGAAGACCAAGGGUUCCUGUCCAACGUUAAUCGGGGCAGGGUGAGUCGACCCCUAAGGCGAGGCCGAAAGGCGUAGUCGAUGGGAAACGGGUUAAUAUUCCCGUACUUGGUGUUACUGCGAAGGGGGGACGGAGAAGGCUAUGUUGGCCGGGCGACGGUUGUCCCGGUUUAAGCGUGUAGGUGUGUGUUCCAGGUAAAUCCGGUUCACUUUAACACUGAGGCGUGAUGACGAGGCACUACGGUGCUGAAGCAACAAAUGCCCUGCUUCCAGGAAAAGCCUCUAAGCAUCAGGUAACAUCAAAUCGUACCCCAAACCGACACAGGUGGUCAGGUAGAGAAUACCAAGGCGCUUGAGAGAACUCGGGUGAAGGAACUAGGCAAAAUGGUGCCGUAACUUCGGGAGAAGGCACGCUGACACGUAGGUGAAGUGAUUUACUCACGGAGCUGAAGUCAGUCGAAGAUACCAGCUGGCUGCAACUGUUUAUUAAAAACACAGCACUGUGCAAACACGAAAGUGGACGUAUACGGUGUGACGCCUGCCCGGUGCCGGAAGGUUAAUUGAUGGGG
rnacentral:rRNA from 1 species